rnacentral:rRNA from 1 species
UACGGGGGGGGCAAGCGUUGUUCGGAAUUACUGGGCGUAAAGGGCUCGUAGGCGGCCAACUAAGUCAGACGUGAAAUCCCUCGGCUUAACCGGGGAACUGCGUCCGAUACUGGCAGGCUUGAAUUCGGGAGAGGGAUGUGGAAUUCCAGGUGUAGCGGUGAAAUGCGUAGAUAUCUGGAGGAACACCGGUGGCGAAGGCGGCAUCCUGGACCGAAAUUGACGCUGAUGCGCGAAAGCCAGGGGAGCAAACGGG